rnacentral:lncRNA from 1 species
UGCUAGUGAACUUUGUCACUUAAAUAUCACAUGCAACACAACUCAAUUAUCAUUCACAUCACAUCAACAUCAAAUAGAUUCAUCAUGCAUAUCAUUCAGUCAAACAUUGUCAGAAAAGUUUUCAACCCAAGCAUAGACACUGAAAAUACAAAUUCAACCUAUUCUAAAAACAAAUACAAAAUGCAAAAGUGAAAGAAAGAAAGAAAAAAAGAAGAAAUAAAAAAAUAGAACCCUGUCUACAGCAUGGACCUCCAUU